rnacentral:rRNA from 4 species
AGACCCGAAACCCGGUGAUCUAGCCAUGGGCAGGUUGAAGGUUGGGUAACACUAACUGGAGGACCGAACCGACUAAUGUUGAAAAAUUAGCGGAUGACCUGUGGCUGGGGGUGAAAGGCCAAUCAAACCGGGAGAUAGCUGGUUCUCCCCGAAAGCUAUUUAGGUAGCGCCUCGUGAAUUCAUCUCCGGGGGUAGAGCACUGUUUCGGCUAGGGGGCCAUCCCGGCUUACCAACCCGAUGCAAACUGCGAAUACCGGAGAAUGUUAUCACGGGAGACACACGGCGGGUGCUAACGUCCGUCGUGAAGAGGGAAACAACCCAGACCGCCAGCUAAGGUCCCAAAGUCAUGGUUAAGUGGGAAACGAUGUGGGAAGGCCCAGACAGCCAGGAUGUUGGCUUAGAAGCAGCCAUCAUUUAAAGAAAGCGUAAUAGCUCACUGGUCGAGUCGGCCUGCGCGGAAGAUGUAACGGGGCUAAACCAUGCACCGAAGCUGCGGCAGCGAACGUAUCACUUAAAGCGAUUCAGCGGGUUACGAUUGACGGAGCGAAGCGACGUCAAAGCGUAUACAAAGUCGAGUCGGUUUAAGGAUACGUUCGUUGGGUAGGGGAGCGUUCUGUAAGCCUGUGAAGGUGUGUCGUGAGGCAUGCUGGAGGUAUCAGAAGUGCGAAUGCUGACAUAAGUAACGAUAAAGCGGGUGAAAAGCCCGCUCGCCGGAAGACCAAGGGUUCCUGUCCAACGUUAAUCGGGGCAGGGUGAGUCGACCCCUAAGGCGAGGCCGAAAGGCGUAGUCGAUGGGAAACGGGUUAAUAUUCCCGUACUUGGUGUUACUGCGAAGGGGGGACGGAGAAGGCUAUGUUGGCCGGGCGACGGUUGUCCCGGUUUAAGCGUGUAGGUGUGUGUUCCAGGUAAAUCCGGUUCACUUUAACACUGAGGCGUGAUGACGAGGCACUACGGUGCUGAAGCAACAAAUGCCCUGCUUCCAGGAAAAGCCUCUAAGCAUCAGGUAACAUCAAAUCGUACCCCAAACCGACACAGGUGGUCAGGUAGAGAAUACCAAGGCGCUUGAGAGAACUCGGGUGAAGGAACUAGGCAAAAUGGUGCCGUAACUUCGGGAGAAGGCACGCUGACAUGUAGGUGAAGUGAUUUACUCAUGGAGCUGAAGUCAGUCGAAGAUACCAGCUGGCUGCAACUGUUUAUUAAAAACACAGCACUGUGCAAACACGAAAGUGGACGUAUACGGUGUGACGCCUGCCCGGUGCCGGAAGGUUAAUUGAUGGGGUCAGCGCAAGCGAAGCUCCUGAUCGAAGCCCCGGUAAACGGCGGCCGUAACUAUAACGGUCCUAAGGUAGCGAAAUUCCUUGUCGGGUAAGUUCCGACCUGCACGAAUGGCGUAAUGAUGGCCAGGCUGUCUCCACCCGAGACUCAGUGAAAUUGAACUCGCUGUGAAGAUGCAGUGUACCCGCGGCAAGACGGAAAGACCCCGUGAACCUUUACUAUAGCUUGACACUGAACAUUGAGCCUUGAUGUGUAG